ACGGGGUGCAGCAGGCGCGAAACCUUUUCAAUGCACGCAAGUGUGAGAAGGGAAUUCCGAGUGCUUAAGUUUUACUUAGGCUUUUGCUAAGUGUAAAAAGCUUGGCGAAUAAGGGGUGGGCAAGACUGGUGCCAGCAGCCCGGUAA
rnacentral:rRNA from 1 species